UGUUUCUUCUGCUGACUUCUGUCUCCUGGAUGAUGGGGGCUGCUGCAUGUCCAAUACAGGAAAGACACAUAUUGAAAGACAGCAAGGUAAGCGGAGAAUGGAUAAAAACCCAUUAUAUCUAUAAUGCUUGUUAUUCACUCUUCUUCUUUGCACUGUACCCAGGUGAACAAGAGUUUCUCAUCUGGGGCCACAGGGUACUCAAAUUGCCAGGAUCUAAUAACAGGAGAAUCUGAGUACUUGCAGGAACGGACAGAUGUAAAGAGAAGCACCUUGCCCACUUUCCUCUCUGCACUGGUUGACUGGAUAUCCCAGAUGGAGGACACAUCCCUGAUGGAGGAGGAGGUAGAGCUGGCCAACCGGCAAGAGAGGUCUGCCAUUCAACAACCUUGAACAUGGGAAAAGUCCCCCUGCAGGAACUUAUUCCGGAAGACUUUCUCCUCCUGCUAACAAAAUAGCUUCCUGAAGCUCUAUUUUAGAGUGGCUUUAGCAACAGCUGCCUCCAUCAGGAUGAAUAUUGUCAGUGACUGCUUCUCUGUGAACAAAUACUAUCUCUUUGUAAUAAGUGUGAUUAGACUCUCUCUCCCCAUCCUCAUUCUCUAAUAAAAAUUGAAUAGAAAUGUAUAGACAGAAAUAAUUUUACGAUUGAAAUGGAGUGCAAAUAUAGAGACUGAGCAUCUUGAAAAGUACCAAGUUGUUACUAUUUGUUCAGAUAAAAGGCUGAAAUGUCAACUGCCCAACAACUCGUGGUCUGAUCCUGCAGUUCUCAUUUCCCCAAAAUUCUCUAAGGGGAGGAGGGACUGCAGGAGCAGGUUUAAUAAAUAGUUACAUUGGCAUUAUCUAUAGUGGAGCUGCAAGGAUCAUGCUAUUUUUUUAUUCUUACUCCUUAGGUUUUUCAUACCUUUAUCUGGUACAACCUCCUACUUUAUACUACAUCACUGUAAAGCUUGCUCUGGGAAAGACUUCACUUCUCUUAGUUUAAAUUUUUUUUGGAAGACCUAGUUUGUGUUGUUUUUUCUAAUAUCUGCACCCUUAUCUUUAAUGCUGUUACAACUACCAGUAGUUUGCUUUUUGUGUCAACAUUAACCUAUACAUGAGACACAUCUUUCAUUACUGUUUAGUAUAAAUUAAGAGUAAGCUUCAUAGAUUCCAAGGCAAGAAGGGAGUGUUGUGAUCACCUAGUUUGACCUCCUCUAUAACCCAGGCCAUAGAAUUUUCCCAAAUAAUUCCUAGAGCGUAUCUUUUAGAAAAAAAACAUCCAAUCUUGAUCUAAAAAUUGUCAGUGAUGGAGAAUCCACCACUUGGUAAAUUGUUUCAAUGAUCAAGUAUUCAAUUUUAAACAUUUACACCUUAUUUCUAGUCUGAAUUUGUCUAGCUUCACUUCCACCCAUUGGAUCAUUUUAUACAUUUCUCUGCUAGAUUGCAGAGCUAAUAUUUGUUCCCCAUGUAGAUACUUAUAGACUGUAAUUAAAUCACCCCUUAACCUUCUUUGUUAAGCUAAAUAAUUGAGCUCCUUGAGUCUAUCACUUUAAGGCAUGUUUUCUAAUCCUUUCAUCAUUCUCAUGGCUCGUCUCUGAACCCUCUCCAAUUUAUUAACAUCUUUCUUGAAUUAUGGGCACCAGAACUGGGACAGUAUUCCAGUAGCAGUCACAUCAGUGCCAAGUACAGUAGUGAAAUAACCUCUACUCUUACCUGAGAUUUCCCUGUUUAUGCAUCCCAGUUAUCACAUUAGCUCUUGUGGCCACAACAUCACAUUGGGAGCUCAUGUUCAUCUGAUUAUCCACCACAAUCCCCAAAUCUUUUUCUGUCACUGCUUCCCAGGAUAGAGUCCCACAUCAUGCAACUUCUGUUUCUCUUACAUAAAUGGGGGCCCAACAGGAUCUUCAAUACUGGGUUGAACUUUUGCUUACUAAGUUUCAGCCUUGCGUGAAAUGUACCCCUCAGAAUAUAAGGCUUUAUAAUGAAAGAGCUGGCAAGCCUUCAACUGUUCUUUGCCCAGUAGGAAAAUCAGUAAACUGAAAAGCAUGGUGCUGGCUGGUCUAGUUCAUUGCUGAAUUUGUACUCGAGUAAUUAUCUUUACACAGUUGAAUAAGGCAUGGUUUUUUGCCUGAGUAGUAUGAAUAAACAUUCUAUACAGCUACUAUGGCAGCCUACAACAGGAGAAAAGCCAUCUCCUGUGGCAGGAAAAUUGCUUACAAUGUGAGAAGGUAAAUAAGUAUUGUGAUAAACUAUUGUUUUCCCUGUCCAACUCAGGGAGACGUAUUGUUCCAUUGUAAAAGAAAGGGGCAGUUCAGGCCAAGAGUGAGCUUUUAUUUCAUAGAGACAAGACAGCACUUCAGUAGGUUCUUGGCAAUCAGGAUCCCAUGUUUAAGUCUAGGUAAUACCUUUCAAUUAGAAAGACGUAAAUGACAUCCUUAACUCACACCUACUCCUAAUUAAGAUUCAGCAUGGUUUUAUAGGAAAUAAAAGUUAAACUUAGUUUUCCUAUAAGACAGCAAAUUUUUGCUUAAGUUACAUCAGAAACACUAGAACUGAUUCAGGGUUAUGUUCAUUAUAACUACAGUAAGCAUUGUAGUUAUGGCACAUUCAUUAAAAGCUAGAUUGCAACAUCUGUACACAAGGGGCAUUUCUGAAUGUUCAGCUUUGCUAUACAUUAAGUGACUUAUCUACUCCACUGCUUAACCUAAUGUUAGAUUAAUGGGUUUUGCAAUGUUGGAAAUACUGUAUAAUUGUGUAUAUUAAAUAUUCACCGCCUCUUUUAAAUGCUUCAGCAUUUUUAUCUUUUGCUCUCCUAGGACAGAACUAUCAAUAGAGAAUGUAUGUGCUAAUGCACUGUUACCAACAUUAAUGUGGGUCAAGGCCAAAUGGCACCUUUGGGAAGGCUAACUGCCACAAA